UGACGGUAUCAUAUGAAUAAGCACCGGCUAACUCCGUGCCAGCGGCCGCGGUAAUACGGGGGGUGCAAGCGUUACUCGGAAUCACUGGGCGUAAAGAGCAUGUAGGCGGGUGAAUAAGUUGGAAGUGAAAUCCUAUAGCUUAACUAUAGAACUGCUUCCAAAACUGUUCACCUAGAGUAUGGGAGAGGUAGAUGGAAUUUCUGGUGUAGGGGUAAAAUCCGUAGAGAUCAGAAGGAAUACCGAUUGCGAAGGCGAUCUACUGGAACAUUACUGACGCUCAGAUGCGAAAGCGUGGGGAGCAAACAGGAUUAGAUACCCUGGUAGUCCACGCCCUAAACGAUGUACACUAGUUGUUGCUAUACUAGAUAUGGCAGUAAUGCAGUUAACACUUUAAGUGUACCGCCUGGGGAGUACGGUCGCAAGAUUAAAACUCAAAGGAAUAGACGGGGACCCGCACAAGCGGUGGAGCAUGUGGUUUAAUUCGACGAUACGCGAAAAACCUUACCUGGCCUUGACAUAGUAGGAAUCUUUAAGAGAUUAAAGAGUGCUAGCUUGCUAGAACCUACAUACAAGGUGCUGCACGGCUGUCGUCAGC
rnacentral:rRNA from 1 species